UACAGGAAAAUGACCUAUGAAUUGACAGACAGUAUGGCUGUGUAUGUCUGUCAUUCUGUAGGCCAAUAUUCUGUAUG
ensembl:miRNA Mir215 microRNA mir-215